rnacentral:rRNA from 1 species
GACGAACGCUGGCGGCGUGCCUGAUACAUGCAAGUCGAGCGGACAGAAGGGAGCUUGCUCCCGGAAGUCAGCGGCGGACGGGUGAGUAACACGUGGGCAACCUGCCUGUAAGACUGGGAUAACUUCGGGAAACCGGAGCUAAUACCGGGUAGGUUCUUCCCUCGCAUGGGGGAAGAUGGAAAGACGGUUUCGGCUGUCACUUACAGAUGGGCCCGCGGCGCAUUAGCUAGUUGGUGGGGUAAUGGCCCACCAAGGCGACGAUGCGUAGCCGACCUGAGAGGGUGAUCGGCCACACUAGGGCUGAGACACGGCCCAGACUCCUACGGGAGGCAGCAGUAGGGAAUCUUCCGCAAUGGACGAAAGUCUGACGGAGCAACGCCGCGUGAGCGAAGAAGGCCUUCGGGUCGUAAAGCUCUGUUGUCAGGGAAGAACAAGUGCCAGAGUAACUGCUGGCACCUUGACGGUACCUGACCAGAAAGCCACGGCUAACUACGUGCCAGCCGCCGCGGUAAUAC